rnacentral:rRNA from 1 species
AGCGAACGCUGGCGGCAGGCUUAGCACAUGCAAGUCGAGCGGGCACUUUCGGGUGUCAGCGGCGGACGGGUGAGUAACGCGUGGGAACGUGCCCUCUGGUUCGGAAUAACUCAGGGAAACUUGAGCUAAUACCGGAUACGCCCUUUUGGGGAAAGGCUUGCUGCCGGAGGAUCGGCCCGCGUCUGAUUAGCUAGUUGGUGAGGUAACGGCUCACCAAGGCGACGAUCAGUAGCUGGUCUGAGAGGAUGAUCAGCCACACUGGGACUGAGACACGGCCCAGACUCCUACGGGAGGCAGCAGUGGGGAAUAUUGGACAAUGGGCGCAAGCCUGAUCCAGCCAUGCCGCGUGAGUGAUGAAGGCCUUAGGGUUGUAAAGCUCUUUUAUCCGGGACGAUGAUGACGGUACCGGAGGAAUAAGCCCCGGCUAACUUCGUG